GUGUGAUGAAGGCUCUAGGGUUGUAAAGCACUUUCGCCUGGGAAUAAGAGAGAUUGGCUAAUAUCCAAUCGAUUUGAGCGUACCAGGUAAAGAAGCACCGGCUAACUCCGUGCCAGCAGCUGCGGUAAUACGGAGGGUGCUAGCGUUAAUCGGAUUUAUUGGGCGUAAAGGGCGUGUAGGCGGAAAGAACAGUUAGAUGUUAAAUUUUGGGGCUCAACCCCAAGUCAGCAUCUAAUACUAUUUUUCUAGAGGUUAGAUGGAGAAAAGGGAAUUCCACAUGUAGCGGUGAAAUGCGUAGAUAUGUGGAAGAACACCAGUGGCGAAGGCGCUUUUCUAAUUUAUUCCUGACGCUAAGGCGCGAAAGCAGGGGGAGCAAACAGGAUUAGAUACCCUGGUAGUCCUUGCUGUAAACGAUGCAUACUUGAUGUGGACGGUCUCAACCCCGUCCGUGUCGGAGCUAACGCGUUAAGUAUGCCGCCUGAGGAGUACACUCGCAAGGGUGAAACUCAAAAGAAUUGACGGGGGCCCGCACAAGCAGUGGAGCAUGUGGUUUAAUUCGAUGCAACGCGAAGGACCUUACCUGGACUUGACAUGUAUUUGACACCGGCAGAAAUGCCGUCUUCCGCAAGGACAGAUACACAGGUGCUGCAUGGCUGUCGUCAGCUCGUGCCGUGAGGUGUUGGGUUAAGUCCCGCAACGAGCGC
rnacentral:rRNA from 1 species